GGAGCGGUUGAGGCGGGCGGAGUAGUCGGCGUACAUCACGCCCACGAACACGCCGGUGUCGCUCUCACGCACCGACGCCGGAUCGAUUCCGGCCCGCUCCC
rnacentral:tRNA from 3 species